ensembl:snoRNA
GGGACACUUAUUCUUAUUCAGUUUCUUCUCAAAGUGAAGAUAACUCCUUGUAAAUGUCCUAGAGAAAUAUAGUAGCUUUCUAUUCACUCUUAGCAAGUAAAAAGGGUGGAACCUUCCACUACUAACACCA